UAGGAGCUACCAGAACUGGUAUGGAACUCACAUUCGCUGCCAGCAUUGCAAUUCUGCAAUCUUCCCUAGUAUUACGGAAGAGGACGUCAAACUUUCGUUUUUCGUCCCACGGGCUCGACAUGCUGCGGAAGAUCCGGACCAUGUCCAAGUAAAAGUCCUGGAACUUCUCUCUGGGACCCUGCUUCCGAUUGUUAGCCUGCCGUUCAUAGACGUAAUCUAUAUCGACUGGCGACUACGCAGAUUUCGUUCUGCAACGCUACGUGUG